rfam:Nippostrongylus brasiliensis genome assembly, scaffold: NBR_scaffold0006647
GUCUCAGUAGGAUAGCGGUCCGUGCACAGCCCCGAUUAGGUUGAGACGCGGGUUCGAAUCCGGCCUGAGAUG